GGGGAAAUAGCUCAGUUGGUUAGUGUGCUGGUCUGUCACGCCAGAAGUCGCGGGUUCGAACCCCGUUUUCCCCG
rnacentral:tRNA from 1 species